UACGGGGGGGGCAAGCGUUGUUCGGAAGUACGGGGCGUAAAGGGCUCGUAGGUGGCCAACUAAGUCAGACGUGAAAUCCCCAGGCUCAACUUGGGAACUGCGUCUGAUACUGGAUGGCUUGAAUUCGGGAGAGGGAUGCAGAAUUCCAGGUGUAGCGGUGAAAUGCGUAGAUAUCUGGAGGAAUACCGGUGGCGAAGGCGGCAUCCUGGACCGAGACUGACGCUGAGGCGCGAAAGCGUGGGGAGCAAACAGG
rnacentral:rRNA from 1 species